UACAGAGGGUGCAAGCGUUAAUCGGAAUUACUGGGCGUAAAGCGCGCGUAGGUGGUUCGUUAUGUCGGAUGUGAAAGCCCUUGGCUCAACUGAGGAAGUGCAUCCGAAACUGGCAGGCUAGAGUACUAAAGAGGGUCGCGGAAUUCCCGGUGUAGAGGUGAAAUUCGUAGAUAUCGGGAGGAACACCGGUGGCGAAGGCGGCGACCUGGGUAGAUACUGACGCUGAGGUGCGAAAGCGUGGGGAGCAAACAGG
rnacentral:rRNA from 1 species